rnacentral:lncRNA from 1 species
UUUAAACUCAAUUAAGAACAAAUAUAAAUGAAGAGAGAAAAAUGGAAAAAUGUUUUAACAAUAAAGUGGGGUGGGGGGACCCACGUCAUGUAAAUUGCAUUCAAUUUAUAUUCUAAGUGCGAAUGAUCCACACCUUAAUUUAUUUUCUUUUUAGGAUUGUGACAUUAUAAAUGGGCAACCCAAAAAGAAAAUGAAGACGUUAUUAAUGGGACAAAGGGAGUAUAUUUGAAUUUUGGUGAUUUAAGAUGUCCAUGUAAUUUAUGAAUUCAGUGGCUUUGAUCAUCCACAUGAUGCAAAAAUGUAGGCACACGAAGGGACAAAUUUAAGUAAUUGAAAAAAAUAGAUCUUG